CUGCAGCAGCUGCAGCCCCGGUGUCCCUGGAGCGGUGGGAGCUGCCGGUGGCCGCAGGCACUGUGCCCUGAGGAGCUGCUGGAGGACGCUGCCCUGAAGACCUUGAGAAGAGCGGGAGAGUGACGAGAACCAGCAGGGAGAAGCGGAAGGCCACAGCAAGAGCAGCGAAUAUGGACCUGCUGCUGCCGCCCGAGACCCUGGGUGUCCCAUCUGCUGUCCCCGUCCAGGAGAGCUGCUCUGCACGGGAGGAAGAGACCGAGGGAGAGCCUGGGAACAUCGGCGGCUGCAAUCCCUCCUGAUUUAAUUCUGUUUAUAGAUGUGUGGAGUAUGACUAAGAGAGUUAGAAGAAUGGGGAUAUUUCCAUCUGUAUAUCUAUUUGUAUGGGUAUAUUGAUGCAUGUAUAUCGAUCUGUUUACAUCUGUAGUUAUAUUUACAUACUUGUUCAGUUGGGUACCUGAAUAGAUCGAUUGAUGGGGUUGGAAUGAUUUUUAUAUUAGUACAUUGAUAUUUGCAUAUUUAUAGCGGAAUUUGAUAUGUGUGUAUUAUAGAUGUCUCAUUAUAUCUCACAUGAAAUAUUUAAUAUAUAUUUACAUCUGUAUGUUUUUAUGAUUUUAUAUACUUAUAUUUCAGUAUGUAUGGAAUUGUAUAGCUCUAGAAUUCUAUUUUUUGAGUUCUGGAUCUGGGAUUCUUUAGAGAGGGAUAUCUGUAUUUCUGUAUUCAUAUAUGGGCCAUACAGUUGUAGAAUUAUGUAAUAAAUUAAAUUGUUAAACUUCAGUUGAUAUUUGUGUGUAGUGAGUGGUAGUAGAGGGUUCCAGUAAAUUAUUUUUUUUUAACUGAAGUGGGUAUUUGUAUCUAUUUACAUAGCAUGAUUGUAACAAUAAAUUAGGUUUGUAAACUUCAGUUGAUAGUUUUAUGUUCAUGUAUUGGCAGUAAUUUAAAAUAAAUGUCAUUUUUAAACUGAA